AAGUGGACACUUAAAAUGGGAUGGAGGGAGUAUAUGAUAAUGAUAAAGCAAGCCAAUUUUGAGACAAGCAUCUCACAUUUGAGGCAAAAUCAAAGCAUGUCAAUGCUCACCACUCUGCAGCUGACACCAAAACACUCAAAUCUCCACAAAACCAAGCCUUUAACUACAAUUCCAUCUUGCAACACUCACUUCAUAAAUAACUUCCCAUUCAUAUGUAACACCAAGAAUGCUACAUCAGCAGCUCUGAUUGGAACUGGCCUUGCAAUAACAGCCCUUGUGGGCCCAGCCACUGCAGGAGAGUUGGCAUUGAUAGAGCCCUCAAAUGCACUCUCCUUGCCCACUUGGGCCAUCCAUGUCUCCAGUGUUGCUGAAUGGGUUAUUGCAAUGGCAUUAGUUUGGCAAUAUGGGGAAAAAUCUGGCUAUGAAUCUUGGAAAGGGCUUUCUUGGGGUAUGGUGCCUUUGCUUGGUGGAGCAUUCUGCGCCUGCACUUGGCAUUUCUUUUAUAACUCUGAGUCUCUGGAAGUGCUUGUAGCUCUUCAAGCUGUAUUAACAGUUAUCGGCAACGGAACAAUGUGCAUUGCAGCAUACCGUAUAUUUAAGUCAACAAAGGGAGGUGAAGAGAAAGCGUGAUGAAUAUCUUGCUUGCCCAAAUGAGUCGACUCUCGUCUAAACAGAUGAUGCGGAAGUUGGAACAAGUAACUAAAAGAUUACUUUGUAUCUUAUGUAAUUAUAUACGAACUAAUUUAUUGUAAUUCAUAUAAAGUUUAAUUUAUUUGAUCAUCAAAGUAAUAGGAAUGCUAUAGGUUAUGGGUAAUGGAGUAAUAAAGGAGUUGUUAGCUAUGGUGUUUCAUGCCUUCCUUGUCCUCCAUAACAGGAAAUUCCUGAUAUUAAAAAUGAAGCCCUCAGAUAUUUUUUGGAUGAUGUUCACAAUCUGUGCAGCCUAAUUUCCAGUGUAGAUAGAGCUUUUCCGUAGAUACCUAAAUAACAUACCUGUUAAGCCUAUGAACUUGAAUCCUGUAUCUUUUGGAUCUUGCUUUUCUUUUGUACAAAGAGAAGGACGACGAAGUCCAUCCGGAGGAGGUACUUCCGAUACACAUCUUCCCAGUUUUUAAAGCUGUUUUGCGCUUCCCAUCGUUCAAUUUUAUCGAAUAGGAAGUAUAUAUUACAAGGAUUGAGUAGAAUUAGAACUUGUAGAGGGAUUGGUAUAAAUAGCUGAAUGUUAUGGUUAGUUAUGGGUGAAUGUGGUAUAUUACAUGGUGGCCUGUAGGCUCUGAGAGAGAGGGAGAGGAGAUUGUUAGAUUCAAGAAGUGUAAUGAUGAAGGGGAGUCAUGAUUACAAGAGAAGAAACCCCCAUGCAUAUCCAUCCAGAAGAAGCCCAAGGGAAUGUAUUGCUGCCUUCUAACCAUCUCUGUCAAUAUUUUCUUAUUGCAAGUCACAGGGUCUAGUAUUCUUCUGUAAAUUAAUCAAUACACACACUGAUACUCUUCUUUCAUAGUUUACACUUACCCCUGACACUUUGGUGUUUUUACAAUAUUUCACCCCCUUUAUGUAUUUCUUUAAGUACUUCCAAAGAUUGUUCAAUUUUUUCCGGGUCUCAGUAUAGGUGUUAUUCUUUUACCCCUUAAUUUUACUAUUAAUAGAAGUUAAUAUCUAUUUUAUUUCCGCUAAGUGAUUAAUAUUAUUAUCAAUUUUUAUCUGCUUCGAAGAACUCUAUACUAAAAGGAGCUAGGUGUUGCCAAGUAGCUAAAAUUAUUAUUGGGGUCAUCAGUUGGGACUUGGGACCAAUGAGCACCAGAGCCCAUCUCUUCACACAUGCAUAUGUCCAAAAUUAGGCUGGAAAACAAAGAGUUACAUAUCAUUAGAAAGAGUGAAAAACAGAAGCACAUAAAAACUUUGUUGAAGAAAAAGCUUUUCAACUUUUAAGUAUGGCAAACUUUGUAAUCUAGGGGGGUGGGGAAUAGUAUAUUAUCUUCCAUUCUAGUAUUACUAUUACCCCAUGAAAACUGUAUUUCAUAAUCAUUUUAAUCAGAUACAACUUGUAAAUUAGUCCACUUCGCAAUAGGUGAUACCAUGUGCACAACAUAUUCUCAACAAAAAUCAUAAAAGCAGCUUUUUGGGGAAGAAAAGUUGAAUGCCUAAAUUCUAGAUAUUAUUACUAUAUAUGAGUGCAUGAGGAAGAUUAGUUGUAAUUUUUUAUUUGGUUUCAAACUAGAUUUCCUGCAUGCAUUUUGUCUUAUUCUCUGCAUCGGUCUUUGAUUAAGAAGAAAAGUUCAUGUUAAGAAUGUUAUCCUUGAACUUCUCUUCUUAGCUAUAAUGUUAUCCUUGAACCCAUCUCUUCUGAAUAAUUUUGGUCUCAUGUUAUCCCUCGUUAACUUCUACUGCUACUGAUUAUGCAUUUUCAGCUAUAAUCUCUAGAUAUAGUGCUCUAAUAUAAUGUUAUUAUAUGAAGCAAUAUGUAUAUAUGUGUACAAAAAAUGUGUAAGAAUCUAAAUUGCGCAUAAGGUAGUAUUAUAAAAAUUAAAAAUAGGAUUAAGUUAUAAGAGCUACAGCAUCCUGUACAUAUAAAAGUUGGAGGUGUGGGUUGUCUGUGAACAGAAGGUAGACUUCCUCACUUUAAUCUGGUCCAGCUUUCCUUUUACAUACCAUGCCUAAUCAUAUGUAGUUUGAACAUAAGUUUUAGAGUCAAUACUUAGGUUGAGGACCUCUGUAAACCCCUCCCUAAGUCUUCUUAGUUCUUAUGGCUUGAUAUGAUGACAACCCAUGCACAAAUGCUAUAUCUACUAUCAAACAAGAAACAUAGGGAUGAAUAUUUGCUUAAGAGGUGUGUGUAUAAAGGAUGUGACAAUAAUAUUGUAAAAACUAAUAAUGCCAUGUAGAAGAAUAGAACCACUCAUAACCUUCAAUUAUUCCUUCUCUUACUACUGCAACUAAUACUAGUGCUGCAUGUAAAUAUGGUUUGUGCCUGCACUGUGUCUGUCGAGGAUUUAGACUAUGGAUCACCCCUCUAUCACAAUGUAACGUGUGUAUUCAAAUUUCUGUAAUUGAUCUUUACCAAAAAUGAACUAUAUAGUGGAAAAUUUUCUUUUCCCCCCACACUGGUUUUAAAAUCUUUGGUGUAGUUCCGUUAGUAAUGUUACAUAGUAAAAUUGUUUUAAACUUUGAAAUUACAUUCAUGAUUUAGCACAACCGGUUAGAUGAAAUAUAAUGAAAACGAGUCAGAGUUGCGGUUUGCCUGAGAAAGCUUGGAACACAUUAUAUGUACUCGAGGAAUGCCUAGGUAUGUAAAAGUAGAAAUCAUAUAUGUAUAAUUGUAUCUACAAUCAUAUUUAUGUAUUUGUUAUUAUAGUAGCAUACCAAGCUGAACUUGUGAAUUGUAUAUGGGUCUAUCCUAUAUAUUCAACUUGCUGGUGCAGGGCAAUUGAUUGCAUUUUUGCAACUACGCCCUUAGCUUCUUCACCAGCAUCAUCAGAGCCACUUCCAAAAUCGACCACAAUGACAAUAAUGAUGCUGAAUUUGAUCCGGGGUCUUGUAUUUGUUGAUUGCUGCACAUAUUCAACUUGUGUAUAAUGAUAUUGAAAAUGGAAGUUUGUGAUGGUACCUGUAUAUAUGGUUGUAUUAAUAGUUUAGUCAUGAUAUAGAUUAUAGAUACCUCAUAUCACCUUCUUUGGUCUACUCAAUUAAUUAAAUUAAUUAGGCCAUAACCUAAUGAGCUAUUCACUAGUAAAUUUAAGUCCAACUUAAUGGGUCAAAUUUGUUAAGAUAAAAAGAGUCUGACAAUGGACCUUUGUAUGGUUCUUUGGCAGUGACAAACUUGUACUCAAGUUGUAUGAACAAAGCUAGACUUAGGGAUGGCAGAAAAAUCCGAUCCGAAUGGAUACCCGACCGUUUCGACCCGAAUGGAUUGUACCGAACCCGAUAUUUUGGAUUUGGAUUUGGAUUUGAUUUUUAGACCCGAAUGAGUUUGGAUUUGGAUUUGGAUAUUAGGUAUUCCGUAUCGAAACCCCGAAAUCCAAAUCCGAUCCGAACCCGAUCCAAACCCGAAACCCGAAAAAAAAUCCGAUUAAUAUAUAUUAUAUAUUAUAUAUAUAUUAUAUAUGUUAUUUAUAAUUUUUUUGGAUCAUAAUAUAUAUAUUUUACAUAUAUAUUUAAUUUUCCAUUAUUAAUUUAUAUUAUACUAGGUUUAGUGGUUUACAGCUUGCCAACUCACAUGGGUCACUCACGUGCACAUUCACCCUCAAGUCUCCACUCUCUCACUCUCUCAGCGUGAGUCAUUCUCUCUCAAAAACACCAUAGCCCUAAUUUCCUUUCCAUCUCAUAUCGCCGCUGAUUAGUUCAAGUCGCUCAUUGUCCGCCGCUCCAUCUCCGACUACAAUGUUCGCUUCCGCCUCUGCUCGUAAAUCGUGUAGACAUUCAUGUUAAUUGCUAGAUCUAGUAUAAGAUAUUCAAAUCAUUCAGUUUAUCAAACCCUUGUACUAUAGUGAAAUGUACCCCUGUUUCUUUUACUUCACUUCUGAUGCCGAAUAAGUGGUCCAGAUCUUAGAUUUUUUUUGCAAGUCUGUAACAAUAAACACAACAAAGAGUCCUGAUUUAAGGUGAGUUGAUUUAGGCAUUCGUUUCUUGACAUCUUCAUAUUACAAAAACAUGAGUUUGUUUAGAUUAUA